GGAAUUAAGCAUAUAAUUAAGCGGAGGAAAAGAAACUAACCAGGAUUCCCUCAGUAAGGGCGACUGAAGCGGGAAGUGCUCAGGAUGUGAAUCUGCGCUCUGCGCCGAAUUGUGGUCUGAAGACCGUGGCACUACCAGCCGGGCCAAGUCCCUUGGAACAGGGCAGCCGAGAGGGUGAGACUCCCGUCCGCCUGGCAGGGUGAGCUACGAGUCAACGAGUCGAGUUGUUUGGGAUUGCAGCUCUAAGUGGGUGGUAAAUUCCAUCUAAAGCUAAAUAUUGGUGGGAGACCGAUAGCGUACAAGUACCGUGAGGGAAAGAUGCAAAGAACUUUGAAAAGAGAGUUAAAGAGUACCUGAAAUUGCUGAAAAGGAAGCGAAGGAAACCAGUGUUUGCCAGAUUAUACUUCCCUUGCCGCGUGCGGUUUGGGCGCUGUGGUUUGGCAGUGGUUGUCCUUGGUUGGUUUUGACGGAAGAGCGCCGAGGGAGUUGACCUCGGUUGCUAGCGCCAGGACUGACUGAGGAGGACGAAAUGGUUUUCUUUACCCCGUCUUGAAACACGG
rnacentral:rRNA from 1 species